AAAGCAGAAUUUACAAAUAGCAUUCUGUUCCUUGUAGUACAUCUUUCAAAAGAUAUCUUCAUCAAGCAGAUAACAU
rfam:Choloepus hoffmanni cont1.299547, whole genome shotgun sequence.